rnacentral:tRNA from 1 species
GGAGGGAUAACUCCGUGGUUAGAGUGCGUACCUGGCAAGCACAAGGUCCUGGGUUCAAUCCCCAGUACCUCCA